rnacentral:rRNA from 1 species
GUGGGGAAUAUUGGACAAUGGGCGCAAGCCUGAUCCAGCCAUGCCGCGUGAGUGAUGAAGGCCUUAGGGUUGUAAAGCUCUUUCAGUGGGGACGAUAAUGACGGUACCCACAGAAGAAGCCCCGGCUAACUUCGUGUCAGCAGCCGCGGUAAUACGAAGGGGGCUAGCGUUGUUCGGAUUUAUUGGGCGUAAAGCGCACGUAGGCGGAUCGUUACGUCGGGGGUGAAAUCCUGGAGCUCAACUCCAGAACUGCCUUCGAUACUGGCGAUCUUGAGUCCGGAAGAGGUGAGUGGAACUCCUAGUGUAGAGGUGGAAUUCGUAGAUAUUAGGAAGAACACCAGUGGCGAAGGCGGCUCACUGGUCCGGUACUGACGCUGAGGUGCGAAAGCGUGGGGAGCAAACAGGAUUAGAAACCCGUGUAGUCC